CCAUCUUCCUCUCUCACUCACUCUCACGUGUCUCACCUUCUUUUUCUUCUUCUUCCCGGCCGUCUCCUCCGUAUCAGCAUCCCAGUGCCGUUGCCGCUUCUCUUCCGAUCAGUGCUGCCGCCGCAUCCACACUCCUUGUUUUUACUGCCAGGAUAGCUCUUGAUGGAUCCGCUGACCCAGAAUACUUCGUUGCAACGCCUUCAAAAUGUGGAGAAGGUUGGACUAACUUUCUAUACCCUAAAUUUUUUGUUUCUAGUUCUUUGCAUGGUCUUUAAUUGUACCACAAGAUUUCUUACGGCCAAUUUUUGUGUUCCAUUCCUGCAGAGAAUUGUGAGGGUUUUGGAGCUUGCAGGGGGAGUCAUGGAAGAGCUUGCCAACCCUGCUGGUCCAAGAAAGGAAUUUGUCAACAAUCAUUGCAGUGAGUUCAUGCAAUUCAUCAAGGAUAUCCAAGUUACGUUGCGGGAUGAAAUCAAAAGUGCGUGUGAAUAUCGUCCAUUCGAGAAGUGUGAUUAUAGUUCAAGGAUUACUAAUGAACUUUGCUGCAAGAAACUGGAAUACAUGAUUUCGAAGUUGGAUGGAAUGAAGCAAACCAUUGAUGAAUAUCAAGUGAAAAUGGAAGAUGCUUGAGUUUAUGUUCGACUAACAUCGGGGUGCCAUUGGCAGCUCUUCGCUUGCGUCCUUGGGCAGUAGUGCAGGGACUUUAAUCUUGAUGAAAGAGCCUAUAGUACGAUUUAACAGAAGAUCUGUGUCGAAGCCUACCUAAAUUGAACUUGAACGAAGAGAAAGGAAGGAGAGAAAUAGAGGUGGAGAAAUGGUGUAUUAACUUAGAUGGGACCAAUUUUGUGUAAUUUGGAAUUGAAUAUCUCACCUACAUUUGGGUUAUGUAUUAAGUUUCUUCACAUCUCACCUAAUUACAUACUUUACUUUGCUUUCUAUUUAUUGGAGGGGACAAUAGUUAUGUCCGUCUUCCCUAAAGGACCACUAACAACUAUUUCAUAUACUCGA